UACGUAGGGUGCGAGCGUUGUCCGGAAUUAUUGGGCGUAAAGAGCUCGUAGGCGGUGUGUCACGUCGUUCGUGAAAACCUGCAGCUUAACUGUGGGCGUGCGGGCGAUACGGGCAGACUGGAGUACUGCAGGGGAGACUGGAAUUCCUGGUGUAGCGGUGGAAUGCGCAGAUAUCAGGAGGAACACCGGUGGCGAAGGCGGGUCUCUGGGCAGUAACUGACGCUGAGGAGCGAAAGCGUGGGGAGCGAACAGG
rnacentral:rRNA from 1 species